GCAUUUUACUUUAGACCAAAUUAUGAUCAUAUUUAAAUGAGAAUAAUUGGCACUUUACUUUUAAAUUGAUUAAAAAUGAUCAAAAGUUAUGAAAUAAACUAAAAAGUACACUCAUUCAAAAAAGAAUAGUAAAUUUAAUCCAUCAUUUUUUUAAAAGGUGAAUUUUUAUUAACCUCAACACUAUCAUGCCAUUUUGAGUCUCAAACAUAGAUUGCAAGAGACUCUCACGGCAUAAAUAGUUAGUGAGCAGCCUGUACAAUUUCCAAAAAGAAUAUGCUACUCAACAAGAUUUUGGUAGCAACUCAGGAUAAAGAAACUAACGUACCUUAAGUAGAUUGGUAAAUUUGAACCUAAUCUCAAAUUAUUCUAUGAAGUUUGUUUGUGAAAAUAUGGCAGCUAGCACAUACCCAAAUUAAAGUUGUAAAUAACAUAUACAUGUUCUAUAAUCAUGUUUUCCAACUAAUUGAUUUACAUAUUGUUUUGUAACUUUUUUUUUUGAAACAGGAAUUCUUUUACUAAGAACUUUUUUGGGAAUAAUUUGCUUGAUUGUGUUGGUUAGACAAAAAUUGAAAAGGAGGCAUUUGUCUGUGGAUGACGAUAUUGAGAAUUUUCUUCAGAGUCAAAACAAUUUAAUGCCUAUCAGAUAUUCUUACUCUGAAAUAAAAAGAAUGACUGAUGGCUUCAAGAAUAAACUAGGUCAAGGAGGAUAUGGUUCUGUGUUUAAAGGAAAACUUCGAAGUGGUCAACUUGUUGCGAUAAAAUUGUUAAACAACUCAAAAGCUAACGGCCAAGAUUUCAUCAAUGAAGUUGCAACUAUUGGAAGGAUUCAUCAUGUUAAUGUGGUAAGACUUAUUGGAUUUUGCGUGAAGGGAUCAAAACAAGCUCUUGUAUAUGACUUCAUGAAGAAUGGGUCCUUGGAUAAAAUUAUAUUUUCAGCUGAAAAUAACACUUUGAGUUGGCAAAAAAUGUUUGAGAUUGCUUUGGGAGUGGCUCGAGGUAUUGAAUAUUUGCAUAGAGGUUGUGAAAUGCAAAUUUUACAUUUUGAUAUCAAGCCACAUAACAUUCUUCUAGAUGAGAACUUUACUCCAAAAGUUUCAGAUUUUGGCCUCGCAAAGUUGUAUUCAGUGGAUAAUGAUAUUAUUUCUCUCACAGCAGCACGAGGUACAGUAGGAUAUAUGGCUCCUGAAUUGUUUUAUAAAAAUCUCGGAGGUAUCUCAUAUAAAGCCGAUGUUUAUAGUUUUGGAAUGAUGCUAAUGGAAAUUACUGGAAGAAGAAAAAAAUUUGAAUGCCUCUGCUGAACAAUCAAGUCAAAUUUAUUUUCCAUCAUGGAUUUAUGAUCGAUUAGAUGAAGGAGAUAUCAUGGAGCUUGGAGAUUUGACAGAAAAUGAAAACAAAAUUAUGAGGAAAAUGGUAAUAGUAGCCUUAUGGUGCAUACAGAUGAAGCCCACUGAUCGUCCUUCCAUGAGCAAAGUCUUGAAUAUGCUUGAAAGUGAAGUUGAGCUCCUUGAAAUGCCUCCCAAGCCUUCUUUCUCUGGAAAUGUCAACUAAAUAUAGUAAGAAUUCUCCCCGCACACGUGGCAAUCGGCCUUCCUCAGUUAUCUCGUGAUAUUUGUCAUUGGGACACCACUCAACAUUGUGAUCUUGCUAAAUCUGACAACUUCUUCUGUAUUUAGUUUUUUGAAUGGUACGUAGUUUUUGUUUCCACCUAGAUCUAGUAGGCAGUGUUUGUAUUUUCUCUACUACCUUGGUUUGUUUUGUUUCUGCUACUUCUCUAUUGCCCUGUAUGUGACCUCUGAUGGAAUAAAUCAUUUCCUCACUUGUAAAAAAAUUGCAAGAAAAUGUAAUUUUAUUUUUCCCUUAUUUUAUACUGUCAUCCCAAACUCGCAGCACAACAGACGCCACAUACCUGUAAGAUGUAAUCUUACAAACAUGCAAGGGUCCAAUACAUAUACCUUAAAACACUAACUGAAAGACACUAAAAUACCUGAAGAACAAAGUGAUUCAUAAUCGGUAGAAAUUCAAAAAUCAUAAUUCGACAAUAUUCAGAAUUAAGUCUCUAAAACUAUAAAGUUAACAUGUCAAGAUAAAACUCUGAAUACUAAUUUAAGAUAGUUUGAUGUUCAUAAUAUUUAAAUAAAUCCUAGACAACCUAAAUGCUAUUAGAUUAAAACAUCACUCCUUGAAAUUCUCACGUAGUUGACCAAAUCACAACCUAAAAAAAAAAUUGAAAGAAUGAGUGAGUCCAACUACUCGGUAAGUAACAAAUAUCUCACUUCGUACUACAAAAGCCCUCAAAUAUAUGACCAAAAAUGUUAUCGGAAUAUGGAGUUCCAAUGACCCAAAUUUGGAUUGUCAAAACAGUUGAAAACCAAGUUUCUAAUUAAUUUUAAAAAUUCAUAUUUUCUAAACCACAAAACUAAACUAGAUGCUACAAAAACCAUUGGAAAGAUCUUUUCAAGACCUUUCCAUUGGUAACCAUCAUGCCACCGAAAGGUCACCAGAAUAGUGCCGAAUUUGAAUAAAAGUUAAGAAAACAUAAAUAAUUUAGGGCUUUUGUGCCCAACUAUGGAAAUACAACCCUAAACAUACCUUAAUCAGAAAUCCCUUGAAUACUUUUCUCUUUUUUCUAUCUUUCUUCUUCUAUGGUGUUAAGCUUUUCUGACUACCUAUCGUUUGAGUCUGAUGAAAUAAACUGACAUGAGUUUUCUACCUUUUCUUUUAAACUUGUAAACUAACCUAACCUCCACUAUUUUUUUUUUAAACGUGGUUUAGUGAGUUGUGAUCAGGUAAAACAAAUUGACCUUAACCGCACUAACUUAAACAUGAUAAACAAAACUGACAUUAAUUAAACUUCUUUAUUUACUUAAAGACCCCUUUUUCUAUUUUUUAAUUAUUAAGACACUCAAGGUUGUAACUGUAAUUAAAUAAAAUACUAAAACAACAUUUAUUUAUUUAUUUUAUAAAACUAUAGCCUAAUAAAUCUAAAUGUUUUUAUAAUAUAUACUUUGUGAGGGGUAUUACAUCCUUCCCUCCUUAAAAAGGAGUUUAGUUCCUUAAACUCUUACCUUGGUCCUCAAAAAGGCAGGGAUACUUCUUUUUUAUAUUUUUUCUAAAUCCCAAGUCGCUCCUCAUUCUGUAUGAUUACUUCAUUAGAUCUUAACAUAAGGAAUAGUUCGCCUUCUUAGAACUUGCUUCUUUCUAUCCACAACACACAUAGGAUGCUCAUCAUAAGACAAAUCUUCUCUAAGUAUCAAAGGAGCUAACCACACCACAUGACUAGGAUCUGGAACAUAUUUUCUCAACAAAGAAACAUGAAACAUGUUAUGCGCUCUCGAUAAAGCAGGUGGAAGUGCCAACCUAUAAGCCACAUCACCAACCUUAUCCAAAAUCUCAAACGAACCCAUAUAACAAGAACUAAGUUUUCCUCGAAUCCUAAAUUGCAUUACUCCUCUAGUAGGUGAAACUAGCAAAAAGACAUGAUCUCCAACCUCAAAUUCUAUCUUCCUUGUUUUAUUGUUUGCAUAACUCUUCUAUCUACUUUGAGCCGUACGAAGAUGUUCUCUAACUAACUGAACCUUCUCAACUGCUUGUUGAAUAAGAUCUAGACCCAAUAAUUGUCUUUCACCCACAUCAUCCCAACAAAGAGGUGACCUGCACUUCUUACCAUACAAAGCUUUGAAUGAAGCCAUUUGAAUACUAGACUGAUAGCUAUUAUUAUAAGCAAAUUCCGUCCAUGACAAGUGUCGAUCCCAAAAACCUCCAAAAUCCAUGACACAAGCUCUCAACAUGUCCUUAAGAAUUUGAUUAAUUGUCUCGGACUGACCAUCUGUUUGAACAUGAAAAGUAGUACUAAAAUUAAGUCUAGUACCCAAAGAUUUAUGUAGACUCUCUCAAAAUUUCACCACAAAUCGAGAAUCUUGAUCAUAUACAAUGGACACUAGCACCCCAUGCAGUCUCACAAUCUGCUCCACAUAUAACUCCACUAACUUUUCCAAUGACAUUUCCGUACGAAUAGCCAAGAAGUGAGCAGACUUUGUUAAUCUAUCAACAAUCACCUAGAUGCCAUCAUUACCUUUUAGUGUUCUCGGCAACCAGAUAUAAAGUCCAUAGUAAUUCGUUCCCAUUUCCAUUCUAGAAUAAGAAAUGGUUGCAAUAACUCUACUGGCCUCUGAUGUUCAACCUUAAUUUGUUGACAUGUUAAACAUUUGGCUAAAAACUGUGCAAUCUCUCUCUUCAUAUUGUUCCACCAAAAAGUGUUCUUCAAAUCUCGAUACAUCUUGGUACCACCAAGAUGGAUUGUAUAAUUACUAUAAUGAGCUUUCAACAAAAUUUCUCUCUUCAAUUUUGCAUCAUUGGGAACACAAAUUCUAUCACCAAACCUCAAAGAGUCAUCAUCAUGAAUCCUAAAGUCUGGUUUCAAACCAGAAUUAACCCUAAGUUUAAUGUGCUGAAGUCGAAGAUCAUCUACUUGGGCUGUCUUAAUCCGGUGAAUUAAAGUUGGUUGUACUCAUAUGUUAGCCAAUAAUGCUCCAAAACCCUGUAUACAUACACCAAUAUCCAUCCUCCGUAAGUCCUCCAAUAUCUGUUUUUGGGAAGUAAUCAUUGUGGCCAUGUUCCCAAACGUCUUUCUACUUAGAGCAUCAGCAACUCUAUUUGCCUUACUUGGGUGAUAAUUGAUGGUCAAGUCAUAAUCCUUCAACAAUUCUAACCAUCUUCUUUGUCACAUAUUCAACUCCUUCUGCGUGAUAAGAUACUUUAAACUUUUAUUAUCUGUAAAGACCUCACAAGACUCACCAUUCAAAUAAUGUCUCCAAAUCUUUAAUGCGAAACCACUACUGCCAACUUUAAAUCAUGAGUAAGAUAAUUCUCAUCAUAAGGUUUCAAUUGCUUAGAAGCAUAAGCGAUCACCUUAUCAUCCUGCAUAAGAACACACCCAAGUCCCUUUUUGGAAUCAUCACUAUAAACAACAAAUCCCUUACCACUAAUAGGCCUGGUAUGCAUAGGAGCGAAUACUAAUCUUUUCUUUAUCUCCUCAAAGCUCUUUUCAUAAUCAUUUGUCCACUCAAAACAAAUCCCUUUCCAUAUCAAUUUGGUUAAAAGUAAGGCAAUACAAGAAAAAUCCUCUACAAAUUACCUACAGCAUCCUACUAAACCCAGAAAACUGUUAAUCUCAAAAACAUUAUGUGGUCUCUUUCAAUUCACCACUAUUUCAACUUUCUUUGAAUCCACUGAAAUCCCGUCUUUCAACACCACAUGCCCAAGGAAAGCAACACUAAAAAGUCAAAAUUCACAUUUCUUCAAUUUAGCAAAUAACUAUUUCUGCCUCAAAGUCUUCAAAACAACCCUUAGAUGCUCUUUAUGAUCUGCUGAGCUAGGGGAAUACACUAGAAUAUCAUCAAUAAAAAUAACCACAAAUUUAUCCAAAUAAGGUUUAAAAACCCUAUUCAUCAAGUCCAAAAAAGUAACUAGAGCAUUUGUCAACCCAAAAGGCAUAAUAAGGAACUCAUAAUGCCCAUAUCAGGUACGAAAAGUAGUUUUGGGAACAUCCUCAAUUCUCACCUUCAACUGGUGAUAACCAGAUAAAAGAUUAAUUUUGGAAAACACUUAAGUGCCCUUUAGUUGAUCAAAUAAAUCAUAUAUCCCAGGCAAAAGAUACCUAUUAUUCACGGUUGCCUUAUUUAACUCCCGAUAAUCAAAACACAACCUCAUACUCCCAUUUUUUUUCUUCACAAAUAACACUGGCGCUCCCCAAGGAGAUAUACUACAUCUAAUAAAGCCCUUAUCAAGAAGUUCUUGCAACUGCUCUUUCAACUCUUUUAAUUCUAUAAGAGCCAUUUUAUAAGGAGCUUUAGAAAUAAGGUCAGUUUUUGGAACCAAAUCAAUAGAGAAAUCAAUUUCUCUAUUAGGAGGUAAACUAAGUAGAUCUUUAGGAAAAAAUUAGGAAAUUCCCCCAUAAUAAGAACAUCUUCAAUCAUUAACUCCUUCAUUCUAGUGUCUAUAACAGUUGCCAAAAAUCUUUUGUAACCACUAGUAAGCAAUCACCUAGCUUUCAAAGCAAAGAUGACUCGCAAAGGAGUGUAAGAACCACUACCACGAAAAGAAAAAGGUGUUUCCCCGGGAAUCUGAAAGUCUACCCUUUUCCCUCGAUAAUCAACUUUAGCAAAAUUUGCAACUAACCAAUCCAUCCCCAGAAUUAUAUCAAAAUCUUACAUAUCUAAAACAUGAAGAUCUGUAAGCAAUUCUCUAUCUUCAAUCCUUACCACACACAUCUUAUAAAUCUGAUCAGAGAUAAUAUCACCUCUAACUAGAGUGUCUACGCAUAGUUCAUAAUCUAGAAGCAUACAAGGCAAAGCAAACUUUCGAAAAAAUGUAGCAAAUACAAAAGAACGAGAUGCAUUGGUAUCAAACAAUACAUGAGUAAAAGCUGAGGCAACUAGCAGUGUACUUGAGACAACGGUGUUGGAUGCCUCUACAUCCGAUUGAGUGAUAGCAUAAGCACGCCCCUGGGUGCAAGGUCUUCCCACUUUUUGAUGUUCAAAAGAAGGUGUUUGCGUAGUCUAAACAACAUGAGUGGGUUGAGUCCUUUGCGUUGCAGUUUCAAAAGUUCGAGAGUUUUGCGACCUCUGCACAGAUUGAGAUUCUUGAAGGACUAAAGGACAAUUAGCAAUACGAUGGCCCUAUUGUCUACAUUCAGCAGCUCGAUGUCCUCCACCACACACUGAACACCUAGGCUUUUGUGCCCAAACUAUGAAAAUACAACCCUAAACAUAACUUAAUCAGCAAUCCCUUGAAUAUUUUUCCCUUUUUUCUGUCUUUCUUCUUCCUUGGUGUUAAGCUCUUCUGACUGCCUAUCGUUUGAGUAUGAUGAAAUAAACUUGUAAACUAACCUAACUUUCACUAUUUUUUUUUAAACAUGAUUUAGUGAGUUGUUGUCAGGUAAGAUAUACUAACCUUAACCCCACUAACUUAAAUGUGAUAAAUAAAACUGACAUUAAUUAAACUUUUUUAUUUACUUAAAGACCCCUUCUUCUCUUUUUUAAUUAUUAAGGCACCAAAAGUUAAAACUGCAAUUAAAUAAAAUACUAAAAGAACAUCUACUUAUUCAAAAAUGAAUAGUAAAUUUGAUCCAUCAUGUUAAGUAGAUUGGUGGUAAAUUUGAACCUUUUCUCAAACUAUUCUAUGGAGUUUGUUUGUGAAAAUAUGGCAGCACAUGCCCAAAUUAAAUUAGUAAACAACAUACACAUAUUCUAUAAUCAUGUUUUUCAUCUUUGGGUUGGCAAAGAAUGUUUGAGAUUGCAUUGGGAGUGGUUCGAGGUAUUGAAUAUUUACACAGAGGUUGUGAAAUGCAAAUUUUACAUUUUGAUAUCAAGCCACAUAACAUUCUUCUAGAUGAGAACUUCAUCCCGAAAGUUUCAGAUUUUGGCCUUGCAAAGUUGUAUUCAAUGGAUGACAGUAUUGUCUCUCUUACAGCUGCAAGAGGUACAUUAGGAUAUAUGGCUCCUGAAUUGUUCUAUAAAAAUAUUGGAAGCAUUUCAUAUAAUGUUUAUAGUUUUGGAAUGAUGUUAAUGGAAAUUGUCGGAAGGAGAAAAAAUGUGAAUGUCUCUGCUGAACAUUCAUGUCAAAUUUAUUUUCCAUUUUGAAUUUAUGAUCGACUUGAGGAAGGAGAUAUCAUAGAACUUGGAGAUGUAACGGAAAAUGAAAACAAAAUUAUGAGGAAAAUGGUAAUAGUAGCCUUUUGGUGCAUACAGAUGAAGCCCACAGAUCGUCCUUCAAUAAGCAAAGUCUUGGAGAUGCUUGAAAGUGAAGUUGAGCUCCUUGAAAUGCCUCCCAAGCCUGCUUUCUCUGAAAGGUCAACCAAACCAUUAGUUGUAUUAUAAGUAAUAUUUAAUGUUGUACGUUAAGCAAUGUUUCACUACUUUAUCAUACUACUUUUAUAAUUUUUAUAGUAGAAACCUUAAGCUUGAGGCAUAAUCUUCUCUCUUCCAAAAAAAACCAAAAAAAAAAAACAAUAUAGAAUGGUGAGGAAGAAAGUAUAGCAAGGAAAAGAAGGAUACUGAGUUGGAGUUUUGAGCGUGCGAAGGUGUUAUUUUAGAAGAGUUGUAAUGGUAUCUCGUAAGUAUUUUGUCUAUAUAAAAAGUCUUUUGCUCAUAUAAAGAAUAAAGACUUUAAAUAGCAUUAUCGAUAUAUUAUUGCAAAUAAUUAACUUACGUUUUAAAAAAAUUAAAAAUAUUCCUCAACCAUGCUUGGAAUUAUAAUUUUUAUUUAAAAAAAUAAAUUAUUUGAGUUUUAUUUUAAAAAAAUAAAUUAUUUGAGUUUUCUCUCUUAAUUAAAAAGUCAAAUUUUAUCCAAUUCAAAAAUUUAUUUAAAAUGAUUUGAAAUCAAAUUCAACUUAAUUCAAAUUAAAUGACAAAAAUUAAAAAUUUCAAUAUGAAAAUACGUGAAUUUAAAAUGAUAUUAAUUUAAUCCGACACAAUUCAAUGUUAACAUGACUCGAAUCUAAAACGAACCGAGCUCAUAAUGAUCAAAAAUCCAAGAUUUAUUGGAUCCAAAACUUACAAAAACUUAAAUUUAUAACUCCCAAAAAUCCAAAUUAUAAUUAAAUAAUUUUAUUUAAUAAUUAAAUAAGUAAAUGAUUAAUUUUUAAGUGAAAAUUUUAAGACACACAAGCACCUUUUUCUCGUCAAUGCUUCUUCGUUACUCAGAAACAGCUCAUAAGAAUGGCAUGGUCAACUACUCUGCUUCACCUUCACUUCAAAUCCCCUCCGGUUUCUUCUCACCAAUUCCCACAUUCCCCCCCAAAAAUCCCCGAUCUUCCUAAACCCUAACCCUAUAAUUCCCAAACCCAAACCCCCCAAAAUGCAAUUCCUUCACAGGCCCAACGCGUUUCCAGGCCACGGCGCAGUAUCAAGAGCCAUGGACAUCAUCCAAUCCUCACCGCCCACGUGGGAAUCGGCCUUCCUUACCAACAUCCUGAUCUUCGUCGUCGGGACUGCACUUUUAGUAGCGGGGCUUUCUCUCUCCGAAAUUUUCGCUUCCUUCUUGCUUGGCACUCUCACUUGGCGAGCUUUCGGGUCUUCUGGAUUCCUCCUCAUUGCUUCUUACUUCGUUAUAGUGAGUCACUAAAAAGUCUAUGAAUUUUAUUUGAAUUAUGGGAUUUACGUUAAAAUUGGAAAUGGGUUCUGAUUUUCGCUCCCAUUUGGUAUAAAGUUUAUGCUCUGGAUGACAAGUUUCAUUGUUUGGUAUUUUGGCAAAGGAAAAAAAAUUUAGUUUAUGUCAAAAAGAUUUAACGUGAAGUAUUUAGUUAUUUAAGUGUGAUUUGUUUUUAUUUCAAGAAUUGGAUUACACUAGGUGAAAACAGGUCAAAACUAUAACCAAAACAUUUUUCCAAAAUUCUUUUUUAUUUUCAUUUGUUUUCUUCUUGGUGGGGGCAGGUGAAGGGAGAUUUUAUUUGCUUUUGACAUGUUUCUUAAGUAUAAAGUUGAAGUAGAAGAUAAACUGAAUAAAAAAAUAAAAAAAGUUAAAUUAGAUAGAGAGGGUGAAUAUUUACCUAUUAAUGAUAUUUGUGAAAAGAAAGAAAUAAUUUAUAAAAUUACUCUCUCAUAUUCUACUGAAUCAAAUAGUGUAGUUGAAAGGAAAACUAAAACAUUAAAAGAAAUGAUGAAUUAUAUGCUUAUUAGUUCUAAUGCACAUGAAAAUUUGUAGGGUGAAGUUAUAUUAUUUGCAUGUCAUAUUCAAAAUAGAAUUCACUGCAAGAAAACUGAUAAGACACCUUAUGAAUUGUGAAAAGUCUAUUCUUCUAACUUAAAAUAUUUAAAAGUAUGAGAGUGUUUAGCUAAUGUUAUGCUUCUUGAUUUUAAGAAAAGAAAAAUUGACUCUAAGAUGUCCGGUUGCAUGUUUAUUGGCUAUACCAAAUAUAGUGCUGCAUAUAAAUUUCUUGUACUAAAAAAUGAUGUUUUUGAUAAUAAUACAAUUAUUAAAACAAAAAAUGUUGAAUUUUUUUGACAUAUUUUUCUAUUGAGAACUGAUACAAUUUUUCUUCCAUCUUUUAGUGAAAAUGUUUUUUUAAAUGCAAAAUGAUGAUUUGAGAAGAAGUAAAAGACAAAAGAAAGAAAUUUCUUUUUGUAAUGAUUUUUACACUUAUCUUGUAGAUAAUGAUCUUUUAAAUUAUGCUAAUUCAAUUUCUUCUAAAGAAUGUCCAUUUUGAAAAGACGUUAUACAAAAUGAGAUUGAUUCUAUUUUACAAAAUCAAACCCGGGAAUUAAUUUAUUUACCACCUGAAGCUAAGCCAAUUGGUUGUAAAUGGAAUUUUUAAAAAAAAUUUAAUCUUGAUUAUUUUAUUGAUAAAUACAAAAUUAAAUUAGUUGCUAAGGGUUUUACCAAAAAAUAAAAUAUUGAGUAUUUUGAUACUUUUGCUCUAGUAACAAGAAUUUCAUCUAUUUGUAUUUUAAUUGCCUUAGCUUCGAUUUACAAACUUUUUGUUCAUCAAAUGAAUGUUAAAACAGUUUUUUUAAAUGAUGAUUUAGAAGAAGAAAUUUAUAUGACACAACUCGAGGGAUGUGUACUUCUUGGUCAAGAAAACAAAAUUUGUAAAUUAAUUAAAUCUCUAUAUACUUAAAACAAGCACCAAAAUAAUGGUAUGAGAAAUUUGAUUAAAUUCUUGUUAAUAAUAGAUUUUUUACUAUUGGAGUUGAUAAAUGUGUGUACACAAAAACUAUUGAUAACGAAUAUAUGAUUAUUAGCUUAUAUGUUGAUGAUAUGUUUAUUUGUGGUACAUGCAUUGAUGUGGUAAAUAAAACAAUAUGUUUCUUAACUUAUAAAUUUGAUAUGAAAGAUUUGGGAGAAACCAAUAUUAUUUUGGGUGUUAAAGUCAUAAGAUGUGAGAGUGGCCUAAUGUUAACACAAAAACAUUAUAUUGAGAGGUUACUUAAAAAGUUUAGACAUUUUAAUGUCACACUUGUGAAUACUCCUUAUAAUGUUAAUACCCAAUUAAAGAAAAAUAGAGAUGAUAGUAUGGCUCAACCUUAGUAUGCAUAGAUUUUUAAAAGUUUGAUGCAUUUGAUGAAUUAUACUUGACUUGGUAUAGCUUAUGUUAUGUGUAGACUGAGUAAAUAUACAUAAAGUCUCAAUCAAGAUCAUUGAACUGUUUUGAAUAGAGUAAUGAAAUAUUUGAAAUGUACCAUAAACUAUGAUAUUUUAUAUAAUAGAUUUUCCGUUGCAUUAGAAAGGUACAAUAAUGUUAACUUAAUCUCAUAUUCAGAUGAGACAAAAUUCAUGAGUGAUUAUGUAUUCACCAUUGGUGUGGAUGCUGUUACUUAGAAAUUAGUCAAAUAAAUAAUAAUUACUAAAUCUACAGUGGAAUCAGAAUUUAUAGUUUUAGAAUUAACUAGUAAUGAGGUUGAAUAGUUAAGAAACCUCUUAACAGAUAUUUCAUUAGAAAUGAAACCAACACCUUCUGCGUCUAUGUAUUGUGAUUGUCUAACGGCAAUAAACAUUGUGAAGAAUAAAACUUUCAAUGGUAAGAAUAGACACAUUUGUUUAAGAUAUGAUGUGGUAAAAUAAUUACUUAGAGAUGAAAUUAAUGUCCAUUAAUUAUACGAAGUCAUAUACCAAAAAAUAUAAAUUAUGAAACCGAUGAAUCCUUUUAGAACUAUUAUUUUGCAUUUCAAUAAGUCCAUGGUGGAAUUUUAAGACUGCACAAAUGAAUUCAUAGGAUUGUUUAAGUGAUUUUAUUUAUAUGUUAUUGCAGACAGAUUACAAAAAUUCCUUUCCUGUUAGUUUCGUUAUCAAUCAGUUCAUACGUUAUUUUCUUCAUUAAUUCUUGUUUGAGUGGAAAAUCAUCUCAGAGCUAUGAUUGGCUUGUGUUGAAGUUGUUGGAUUGAAUUAAUUAGUUGACUGGACUGACUUUUCAAACGAAGACGAGUGAGGGAGAAAGACCGCACCAUUAAAAGUUGACUGACUUUUCAGUUACCGCAUGAAACCGUACAACUCUCAGACGUGAGUCUGAAAAAUGUGCAAUUUUGCUAAUAUAUGCAUGUGAUAUUUUUGUCCAAAAUAUUAUCAAAACAAAUUGUAUAGAACUGUGAAAUCCGUAAAAGUUGUUUGCAAAAAGGUUUUUAACAGCACAAGUUAAAGAAAAAAGGUCAAAGGAAGAUUUGAUUUCAAUUACAGCCACAGAAAUAAUUAACAAAGCAAUAAAGAUAACAUUAUCCUAACUCUUAUUUAAUCUCUCUCGUUAAACUUUGUUAUACUUAAUUCUCCUAAAAAAAACUUUUUUAUACUUACAAAAAAUAAAUAUAAGAUAUGGAGAUUGAUCAAUUUUAUUUAGAAUUAUUAUUUUAUAUAUUUGCAAUGAAAUUUUGAAAUUCCAAAUUUCAUAACAUUAUUUAAGUCAUAUUAUAUAUCUACAUAUAUAUAUAUUAUGUUAAGGGGUAUAUUGAUCUCACUAAUGUGCAGAUAUACUUGGAUGAAUUACCCAUGAGUGCUAUGGUAGGCUUUGUGUUAAAUGUGUUUUCUGGUUUGGGUUUAAUUAGUUGUCUGACUUUUCAAAAGAAGACUUGGUUUUAACAAUAAAUAUAAGAGAACAUCAUAGUGCUUCUUCACAAACUAAUUAAGCCCUUAAUCUCCUUCUCUCCCACUGAAAUUUUAGGAUGCUAAGAGCAAAGCUUCCAUUAUUCGGCCUUCUGGCCCUUGCUUUAUCUCUAUUCCCUGAUGCAUGCAUCGCUAGAGGCAAACACAAGCACUGUGGCUCUUCUUUCUGUGGAAACAUUAAUAUCACUUCCCCUUUUCGAUUAAAAAGUCAGCCUCGAAGUUGUGGUUACAAUCGUUAUGAACUAGUAUGCGAGAAUAACCGCACCAUUUUCCCCAUGAAACAUGGGAAUUUCUAUGUCCAACACAUCUCUUAUAGUGACGAAACCAUUCAACUGUUAGACGUGAGUCUUGACAAGGAUAACUUUUUUAUACAAUGAAUUUAUAAGAUUGCUUGAAUGAUUUUAUUCCUAUUUGAGUGGAAAAUCAGCUAAGAGCUAUGAUUGGCUUGUGUUAAAGUGGUUGGCUUUAAUUUGUUGACCUGACUGACUUUUCGAACGAAGACAAGUGAGCAAGAAUAACCACACAUUUUCCCCAUGAAAUAUGAGAAUUUCCAUGUGGAAAAAGCCAUAUAAGUCUUAGAGGUGAGUCUUACCAAGCCACUCGGUAGGAGAUAGGGUAUACAUCUCCCUCAUCAUAAGUAUCCAUGCACGUCAAUAUAGGGUCAUGUGUAUCUCUUAAAUUGCAGGAUGAAGAUGAAUUCUUCGGUUUACAUUGAUGCUUUCCAUUGCACCAAUCGAUGUUCCUCUCCACGCUAUUUUGUUUCUUCAGUCAAAUUAUUGUCUGGUUAACAACUAAUGGAAAUGUAAGGACGGAAUAUUCACGUGAUAUGUUGCAUAAUUUAUACUAUAAUAUUUUAUCAUUGUUAACGGCACAAUUUGAUAAAAAGAUCAAAAUGAAAUCAUUGUAUUAUAUUUUGUGUAAAAUGCAUAAAAAAAAAGAAUUCUAAAUUUNNNNNNNNNNNNNNNNNNNNNNNNNNNNNNNNNNNNNNNNNNNNNNNNNNNNNNNNNNNNNNNNNNNNNNNNNNNNNNNNNNNNNNNNNNNNNNNNNNNNNNNNNNNNNNNNNNNNNNNNNNNNNNNNNNNNNNNNNNNNNNNNNNNNNNNNNNNNNNNNNNNNNNNNNNNNNNNNNNNNNNNNNNNUCUAUACUUAACAAAAGAUAAAUGUAAAAUAUAAAAUUGAUCAAUUUUGUUUAGAAUUAUUAUUUUAUAUAUUUUGAAAUUUUGAAAUUUCAAAAUAUAUAAUAUUAUUUAAGUCGUAUUAUAUAUUAUAUUAUUGAAGGCUUAUAUUAAUCUCCCUACUGUGCAGAUAUACUUGGAUGAAUUAUAAAGAUGUCUUUUCUAUCAGUUUCGCUACGUACCAAUUGGUUGGACACAUAUUUUAUUCUUUCUUAUUUGUUUGUGUUAAAAGUGUUUUGCGGUUUGGGUUUAAUUAGUUGACUGACUUUUCAGAAGAAGACUUGGUUUUAAUAAUAAAUAUAAGAGAACAUCACAGUACUUCUUCACAAACUAAUUAAGCCCUUAAUCUCCUCUCCCGCUGAAAUUUUAGGAUGCUAAGAGCAAAACUUCCAUUAUUUUGCCCCUUGGCUUUUGCUUUAUCUCUAUUCCCCGAUGCAUGCAUGGCUAGGGGCAAAAACAAGGACUGUGGCUCUUCUUUCUGUGGAGAAGUUACCAUCAAAAAGCCCUUUCAGUUAAAAAGCCAACCUCUCAGGUGUGGAAACCGUGGGCUUGAAGUCGAGUGUGACGACAAUAACCGCACCACUUUCCCCAUGAAAUAUGGGAAAUUCCUUGUCCAAGACAUCUCUUAUAAUAACGGCACAAUUCAUAUUAUAUUAUAUUUUUAUGUAUGUUUGUAUCUAUAGUAUUAGUUGUUUAAACUUUUUGGGUGCAAUUCUUUUUCAUAUAUAAUUAACAGCUUUUAUAAAACAGCAGUCUUUGUCACUAUAUAUGCUUGUAAAUCUCUCUUUAACUGCAAUUUUUUUGUCCAAAAUACUUCUAAUAAAAGAUUGUAUAGAGCAGCCAAAUUUGUAAAGUUCUAUCCUAAUUAAAACACUUUCAAUAACAUCUUAAAAAAAUUAAAUGCCAAAGUUAUUGUAGUGUGUUUUUCCCCUUUGGCUCUAGACUCUAGUUUAUUAAAUUUUCAAAGGAAGAUUUGCUUUCAUUUGCAGCCACAGAAUGAUAAGCAGAGCUACCAAGAUAAGAUUAUCUUAGUUCUUAUUUAAUCUUUCUUUUCAAACUUUUUUAUGCAUAUAAAAAAAUGUGAAAUAUGGACGGAUUAGUUCUUUUAGACUUAAUAGGUUGAUGGUGAAAUUUUAAGACUACACAACAUAUUUAUAGGAUUGUUUUUUAUUUAUAUUUUAUUGGGGGUUAAUAUUAGUCUCCCAACUUAGACGAAUAACAAAAAUUCCUUUGCUAUCAAUUUCGUUAUCAAUCAGUUGCAUACGUUAUUUUCUUCACUUAAUUUCUAUGUGGAAAAAGCCAUAUAAGUCUUAGAGGUGAGUCUUGACAAGGAUAACUGCUCCAUUCCUUAUAGUUCCUAUCCUUGCUACAGCCCUUGUGGAAAAAGCCUAUCACUUGGUAGAAGAUAUGGUAUACAUCUCCCUCGUCAUAUGUAUACAUGCACCUCAAUAUAGGGUCAUCUAUCUCUUAAAUUGCAGGAUGAAGAUGAACAUUUGGUUUACAUCGAUGCUUCUCAUUCCACCAAUCGGUGUUCCUCUACAUCUUCUUUUGUUUCUUCGGUAUUUUACAUUGUUAAUGGGACAAUUUGAUAAAAAGAUCAAAAUAAAAUUGUUUCAAAAUAUUAUACACAUGAAAAAAUAUUACGAAUUUAAUUUGAUUACUUUAUUGCGAAAGUUGCAAAAAUAAUUGUAGAAGCAUGUAUAAUGAUUAUGGGCAUUAUUUGAAUAGAUAUUUUUCUCCUUUUUCGCGUCCGACUGAUCGUAACUUAUCUUCAAAUUCAAAUAAAAAAGAAAAAAAAUUCAAGACUGAGAGUAUUUUAGAUAGUCAUUCAAGAGCUUGACUGAUUUCAUAUUGGUCUGUGCAACAAAUUUGCAAAUUUUUUAAAAGACAACUUUGAACUUUAGACAUGCAUAAUUUUUUUAAUACACAGGGAAAAUGUAUAUAUAAAGUACAAGGAAAGAUAUAUCUAUAUAAAUUAAAUUAAUUUUACACACCCUUUUAUAUUUUUUUAUACAAUUUAUAUUUUGUUAAUCCAAUCAUUGAUUUCAAAUUAUAUUCACAUAAAUCAUGCAUAACAGAUUUCAAAUUAAUUAAAACUGAUUAACUAUUUAUUUGAUAAAAAUAAAAUUUCAAUUGUUAAAUAUAUUGAAAAAAUAAACAUUUUACCAAAUUGACUUUGAAAUUACAUGAUAAGUACAAGUUGUUAAAUCUAACAAUAAAAUAUUAAUUUUUAAAGAAAUUAUAAAAAAUGUAAAACUAAUUAGUUUUACGCAAAAAAAUUAAUUUAUUGUUAUUUAGGCUUUUGUGUGCAAUUUUUUCAUAUUUAACAGUAGUUGAAAAUAUGCGGUCUUUACUAAUAUAUGCAUGUGAUAUUUUUGUCCAAAAAUUACCAAAAACAUAUAGAACUGCGAAAUCCGUAAUGUUGUAUGGAAAAGGAUUUUUAACAACACAAGCGAAAGAAAAAAUUUAAUAAAUACAAAGUUAAUAUAGUUUGUUAUUUCCACUUAUUCAAAGGAAGAUUUGAUUUCAAUUGCAGCCACAGGAAUAUUUAGCAAAGCAAUGAAGGUAACAUUAUCCUAACUCUUAUUUAAUCUUUCUGGUUAAACUUUUUUUUACAUAAUAUUCCCAAAAAAAAACUUUUUAUACUUAUAAAAAUUAAAUAUAAGAUAUAUGGAGAUUGAUCAAUUUUACUUAGAAUUAUUAUUUUAUAUAUUAGCAAUGGAAUUUUGAAAUUCCAAAUUUUAUAACAUUAUGUAAGUCACAUUGUAUUUAUUUAUUUAUUGAGGGGUUAUAUUAGUCUCCCUACCGUGCAGAUAUGCUUGGAUGAAUUAGAAAGAUUUCUUUUCUGUCAGUUUCGUAAUGUAUCAAUUGGUUGGACACAGAUUUUCUUCUUUCUUGUUUGUUUGUUUGCGUGGAAAAUCACCCAUGAUUACUAUGAUUGGCUUUGUGGUAAAAGUGUGUUGCGGUUUGGGUUUAAUUAGUUGACUGACUUUUCAAAAGAAGACUUGGUUCUAACAAUAAAUCUAGGAGAACAUCAUAGUGCUUCUUCACAAACUAAUUAAGCCCUUAAUCUCCUUCUCUCCCGCUGAAAUUUUAGGAUGCUAAGAGCAAAACUUCCAUUAUUCGGCCUUCUGGCCCUUGCUUUAUCUCUAUUCCCUGAUGCAUGCAUCGCUAGAGGCAAACACAAGCACUGUCGCUCUUCUUCCUGUGGAAACAUUAACAUCACUUACCCUUUUCGAUUAAAAAGCCAGCCUCAUAGGUGUGGUUACAAUGAGCUUGAACUAGUGUGUGAGAAUAACCGCACCAUUUUCCCCAUGAAAUAUGGUUAUGGGAAUUUCUAUGUCCAACACAUCUCUUAUAGUAACAAAACCAUUCAAAUGUUAGACGUGAGUCUUGACGAGGAUAACUGCUCCAUUCCUCAUAGUUCCUACCCUUUCUACGUGGAUGCACUAAAUAUAUAUUCCUAUCAAACUACCACUGAACCUAGCAUCAUGUAUCUCGUAAAUUGCCCGAUCCAGAUCAACAACUCUUGGGUUUAUAUUGAUGCUUUUCGUUGUACCAAUACCCCUUCCUCUCGACCUCCUUACUUUUACUUUUUGGAUGAAAAUACUGCAAUGUCUAAUUUCCAUGAGUCAUGCACAGUUGAAGCGCAGGUUCCAAUCAUGGUUGCCAAUAUCACUGGCCUCUCUACUUUUGAUAUUUACACAAAGCUGUUGGAGGGAUUCCAACUCUCAUGGUCUUCGUAUGAUGAUAUGUCAAGGUGAGACUCAGUUUUUAACGCGUGAGGAUUUUUAAGUAUUCCAAACUAUUUGGUGCAUUUUAGUUUUUGAAAAGUAUUUAUUAUUUUUAGUUUUUAAUUUUUAAAUUACCUUUUUAACUAUGUAUAUAAAUUUUUAUAAUUAGAAUCACAAAUUUUUAUUACUGUAGUAUCUUCUUCAGACUUUGAUUAUUUACUUUUACUCUAAAUUUGUUUAAUGUAAAAUUUAAACAGAAGCAUUUAAAAUAUUUUAAACAGUGAAAGUGCGCAUUUCAUGGCCUUAUUAAGGAUAACGGUUUUGAUGUGCUUUCUUGAAUAUUAAUUAUAGAUUGCUCUGGCUGUUGCUGCAUCCGCUGCAAAUAUAUAUUCAAAGCAUCAUGGCUUUGUUUCAACCAGAUUAUUUCUAUGCACCUUAUAAAGGUAUUCGUUCUUUUUUGAGUUCAUUAAUAAUUUGAUUCUUAUUGGAUUGGCCUUUACUUUCCUGUAUAGUUGACUUGACUCUUUACGUGCAUCAUAAGUAAACUGUUAAAUUUAAUAGUUGGUUUAUUAAAAUAUUAAUAGUAUACGAAGUUAUAAAAAAUUUAUAAAAAUUAAUUAAUUAAUUUUAUAGUGGUGUUGUGUGAGUAUCGCAUAUAUGUAUACGUAUGUAUCCAAGUGACUACAUAAAAGAAGAUCCAUCAUAAAUGAUUCAUAAAUAAUUUUGAACUACAUUAAUUGGGUAUUUUUUAACUAGGUAUUUUUAUGAUGUUGUGAUUUUUUUGGUCAAAAUAAAAAUUAUGUGGAAUAAGGUCUAAAUUUACCAUUCUAUAUAUUUCGGAUAAUGGAUCAAACUUGUCAGCAUCUUUGAACGGGUGUAAUUUUGCCAUUAUACUUUUAAAUUAGUUAAAAAUGUAAUCAAAAGUUAAGACUAAUGUUAAUUUUUGACCAUUUUUGAAGUAAAUUAAAAUGUAUAAUGGUAAAAAUUGCACUUGUUUAAAAAUAAAAUAAUAAAUUUGAUCCAUCACCUUAAAUAAACUAGUGUGUGUAAAUUUAAAUUUUAUCCCAAAUUAUGUUAUGAAUUUUGUUGGGGAAAAUAUGGCAGCACAUACCCAACUUAAAUUGGUAAAUGACAUAUGCAUAGCAUAUAAUCAUGUUGUCCAACUAAUUAAUAUAUAUAUUGUUAUGUAAUUUUUUUUUUGUGAAACAGGAAUUAUAUUGCUAAGAACACUUUUGGGGAUAAUUUGCUUGAUUAUAUUGGUUAUACGCAAAUUAAAAAGGAGGCAUUUGUCGAUGGAUGACAUGAUUGAGAAUUUUCUUCAGAGUCAAAACAAUUUAAUGCCUAUAAGAUAUUCUUAUUCUGAAAUAAAAAGAAUGACGGAAGGUUUCAAGAAUAAACUAGGACAAGGAGGAUAUGGCUCUGUGUUUAAAGGAAAACUUCGAAGUGGUCAAUUUGUUGCGGUAAAAUUGUUAAACAAAUCAAAAGCUAAUGGUCAAGAUUUCAUCAAUGAAGUUGCAACUAUUGGAAGAAUUCAUCAUGUUAAUGUAGUAAGACUCAUUGGAUUUUGUGUGAAGGGAUCGAAACAAGCUCUUGUAUAUGACUUCAUGCAAAAUGGAUCCUUAGAUAAAAUAAUAUUUUCAACUGAAAGUAACACUUUGAGUUGGCAAAAAAUGUUUGAGAUUACAUUGGGAGUGGCUCGAGGUAUUGAAUAUUUACAUAGAGGUUGUGAAAUGCAAAUUUUACAUUUUGAUAUUAAGCCACAUAACAUUCUUCUAGAUGAGAACUUCAUCCCGAAAGUUUCAGAUUUUGGCCUUGCAAAAUUGUAUUCGGUGGAUGAUAGUAUUGUCUCUCUCACGGCUGCAAGAGGUACAUUAGGAUAUAUGGCUCCUGAAUUGUUUUAUAAAAAUAUUGGAAGCAUCUCAUAUAAAGCUGAUGUUUAUAGUUUUGGAAUGAUGUUAAUGGAAAUUGUCGGAAGGAGAAAAAAUGUGAAUGUCUCUGCUGAACAUUCGAGUCAAAUUUAUUUUCCAUCAUGGAUUUAUGAUCGACUUGAAGAAGGAGAUAACAUAGAGCUUAGAGAUGUAACGGAGAAUGAAAACAAAAUUAUGAGGAAAAUGUUAAUAGUAGCCUUUUGGUGCAUACAGAUGAAGCCCACAGAUCGUCCUUCAAUGAGCAAAGUCUUGAAGAUGCUUGAAAGUGAAGUUGAGCUCCUUGAAAUGCCUCCCAAGCCUGCUUUCUCUUGAAAUGUCAACCAAAUCAUUUGGUGUUGUAUUAUAAGUAAUAUUUAAUAUUGUAUGUUAAGCAAUGUUUCACUACUUUAUUAUAUUACUUUUAUAAUUUUUAUAGUAGAAACCUUAAGCUUGAGGCAUAAUCUUCUCUCUUCCAAAAAAAAACAAAAGAAACAAAAACAAUAUAGAGUGGUGAUGAAGAUAGUAUAGCAAGGAAAAGAAGGAUACUGAGUUGGAGUUUUGAGCCUGCGAAGGUAUUAUUUUAGGAGAUUUGUAAUGGUAUCUUGUUAGUAUUUUGUUUAUAUAAAAAGUCUUUUGUUCAUACAAAGGGCAAAGACUUUAAAUAGCAUUGUCUAUACAAUCAUUAUGUUAAUGCAAAUAGUUAACCAAGUUUUUAAAAAAAUUAAAGAUUUUUCUAAACCAUGUUUGGAAUUAUAAAUUUUUUAUUUAAAAAAUGUAAAUUAUUUGAGUUUUCUCUCUUAAUUAAAAAAGUCAAAUGUUAUCGAAUUCAAAUAUUUAUUUAAAACGAUUCAAAAUCAAAUUCAAUUUAAUUCAAAUUAAAUGACAAAAAUUAAAAAUUUGAAUCCAAAAAUAUGUGAAUUUAAAAUGAUAUUAAUACAAUCUACCUUCAACAUAACUCGAAUCUAAAACGAACCGAGCUCAUAAUGAUCCAAAACCCAAGAUUUAUUUGAUCCAAAACUUAUAAAAACUUAUAUUUAUAACUCCAAAAAAUCCAAAUUAUAAUUAAAUAAAUUUAUUUAAUAGCUAAAUGAGUAAAUGAUUAUUUUUUAAGUGAAAAUUUUAAGACACACAAGCACCUUUUUCUCGUCAAUGCUUUUUCUUUGCACAGAAAAAGCGCAUAGGAAUGGCAUGGUCAACUACUCUGCUUCACCUUCACUUCAAAUUCCCUCCGGUUUCUUCUCAUCAAUUGCCACAUUCCCUCCCCAAAAAAUCCCCAAUCUUCCUAAACCCUAUCCCUAUAAUUCCCAAUUCCAAACACCCCAAAAUGCAAUUCCUUCACAGACCCAACGCGUUUCCAGGCCAAGGCGCAGUAUCAAAAGCCAUGGACAUCAUCCAAUCCUCUCUGCCCACGUGGCAAUCGGCCUUCCUCAGCAACCUCGUGAUCUUCGUUGUCGGAACCCCACUUUUAAUAGCGGGACUAUCUCUCUCCGGAAUUUGCGCUGCCUUCUUGCUUGGCACUCUCACUUGGCGCGCUUUUGGGUCUUCUGGGUUCCUCCUCGUUGCUUCUUACUUCGUUAUAGUGAGUCAUUACAAAGUCUAUGGAUUUUAUUUGAAUUAUAGGAUUUAAGUUAAAUUUAGAAAUGGGGUUCUGAUUUUUGUUCCCAUUUGGUAUAAAGUUUACGCUUUGGAGGACAAGUUUCAUUGUUUGGUAAAUAUGGCAAAGGAAAAGAAAUUUAGUUUAUGUCAAAAAGAUUUCAUGUGACGUAGUUUGUUAUUUAAGUGUGAUUUGUUUUUGUUUAAAGAAUUGGAUUACACUAGGUGAAAUCAGGUCAAAACCAUAACCAAAAUAUUUUUUCCAAAAUUUCUUUAUUUUCAUUUGUUUUCCUCUUGGUGGGGGGCAGGUGGAGGAGCCAGGGAGAAUUUAUGGGUUCUCGCAGUUUUAGACUAGUUUGAAACGAUAUAGUAUUGUUUUUCCUGCUUUCCUUUCUGAUAAUGGCUUGUUUUACUUGCAAAAUGAAUCUUGAAUUAGUUCCUCCUUCCCUCUUCUGAUUUUCCCUACCCAUAUUUCUAGUUGAAGAUAAUAGUUUCAAAUCAUGCUUGAAAACUAUAUUACAAAAUACUUGUAAUAUCAAACAAUUUUGUGUGGCAUUCGAGUUUCUAAUUUGAAUGGAGAAAUAAUUGGGAUGGAAGUGGUAUUAAAUUUAGAGGAAAGAAACAAGAAUGCCUUUUGCAACAUUACAAAGAAAAGAAAAGAAAACCUAGUAUAAAACUUCGGAAGAUGCUUGAUUAUAAGGUGCUGGGCUUUUGAGGACCUGAGACUUCAUAAUACUUUAUAAUUCUCUAGAUCUUCAGGCAAUCUUACAGCUCUUUGUCAUGCCUCUAAAACAAAUGCGGUAAAACCAUGCUCAAUUGUUCAAAUUGUUAUGCUCAAUUGAGAACUCCUGACCUGUUAUGUGUGUGUGGAGAUGAUAACACCAAUGAAUGGCCUUGUUAUACGGAUGACCGCUCAUGAUAAUUGCUACUUCAAAAAUUAUUGGCUUAGAUUUUGCUGCUGUGUUUUGAAACUUGUUGGCAUGCCUCACGAAUGCUGCGAAAUGUGCAGAAGGUUUCUGAGAUCUUGCUGCCAUCUAAGAAGAAAGAAUAGGUGAAAUUGUACAGGUACUAUGAAUAUGAUGUAAUGUUUAGCUUUUUUAUAGGGACUUCCUUUUUGUAUAGUGAACUUGGUUGCAUUGGAAUGAGUCUGUUCUCUGGGAAGAAUCACUGUUCUGAAAUUUGUUAAGUCUGAUCACAAUUGCAACCAGGAGCGGCAUGCCUUGCUUUUCUUCUCAUAGGGCAUGAGGGUAUCCCAUCAGGGUUCUUUUUGUGAACCCCUCUUAUGAAAUAACAUCUUCUAUGCCUUUCCAAAAAAAAAAAAGUAACAAUCACAUGGCAUAAUUUUUUCUUACAAUAUGAGAGUACUACAUCAGAGUUUCUUAAUGCACUAAGAAAAGUUAGAGAUAAGGUCUAAGAAAAUAUCAAUUUCAAGAAGAAACAAAUAACACUAGAAUCAUAUUUUACAAAAAUAUCAUAAUUGAGUCAUGUAUAUAAAUAAUUUUGAUGUAUGAGGAAAUUAUUAAUUUAUAUAUCAAGUGAGAUCUAUGUGUUUUUUUUCAAAAUGUAUUAUCUUAUUAAUUUAACAAAUUAUUAAUUUAUCAUGUUGAUCUCAAAUCAGGACCAACCAAAAUUAAUAUUUAUUCAAAAUUAUUAAUUUAUCAAGUAUUAUUUAUAGAAGAUUUGUUGUACUUCUUUGUAAUUCACUCUAAAUAAAAGGGUAUGUUGAAACAAGCGGAAUUUAGAUCCCUUAUGGUUCUUGCUACAUUUAAGUACUAUUAAUGUCAUUUAUGCUGGUUAUAAAGAUCUGACAUUUUAUUUAGAAACAAAAUUUGUAGAGUGUCAAGCUUUAAUAGCUUUUUUUUUUUGUUGCUUUUUAAUGUUUAUAUUCGUUGCUAUAUACUAUUUUUUUCCCUAUCAAACCAUUCUUUCAUGCUUACAAAUUUAAAUUUGUGGUGUGCAAAAAUUGUUGGUGUAUUUUCAAAAAUCAAAGGUUAUGUCACAUAAUCAAAAGCUAUCUUAGCUCAAAGGUUUGUCACAUAAAGUGACAUAGUGUGACUAUUGGAUUGUAGACAGGUUAUNUUGGUGUAUUUUCAAAAUCAAAUGUUAUGUCACAUAAUAAAAAGCUAUUUUAGCUCAAAGGUUGUCACAUAAAGUGACAUAGUGUGACUAUUGGAUUGUAGACAGGUUAUUGUUUCAUUAGAUAUGAAAAGUUAUUGUUUCAAAUUAUAACUCAAAGAUUAUGAUUUAUGGAAUGAAUAGUUGUCCUUUCAUUAGAUGAUUAUUGAAACAAUACAUUUAUCUUAAAGUUGUGUCUAGCAAAAUGUAAAGAUGUCUUUUAGACAAAAUGGUGUCUUAAUAAAAGGGUUGUGUCCUUGAAGAAGAGACACUUGCAAGCCUAUGUAAAGGGCUUGUUGCCAACCAUUUUUACACAUCAAAUCAAAAACAAAACAAGAACAGAAAAUCAAGAGUAAGAAAGUGUUGUGUUCUAUUAACAUAAACACUUAAGUUCCCAUCAACUACAAAAGCAUCAAAAUUUCUUAUAAUCUACUUGUUGUAGAAAGUAAGCUCUAAAGCCAAACAACUUUGCAAACCCUUAGAUAUAUCUAGUGGUCUACUCUCGUAAAGUGCAAGACAAAGUUAAACGUUAGCUUCAUUGUAUCCUUAAAACUAUUCGCAUUAUUUCUCUUUGCAUACUGAGUGGUGGGGAUGAAAUAAGUUUUAAAAAUAAUGUCUAUUGAAAAGCUCGCCUUAAAAUCAAUUUUGUUGGUUCUUAAAUUUCAUCUAAACCUCAUUUGCACCAACAAAAAUGAACAGGUACCUACUUUACUUUAUUAUUCUACUUUUAUUAUAUAAUUUUUAUAGUCUCCUUUUUCAUCUUAUAUACGGAAUCAGAUCCAUAUAGAAACCUUAAGCUUGAGGCAUAAGCUUCUCUCUUAUGAAAAUAAAAUAAAAUAAAAUAAAAUAAAAAUCAAGAGCAGUAUAUAUACCAUUGUGAAUGAAUAAAGUAUAAAAUCAUAGUGCCUUUUGAGAUACAAAACAUUGUGAAUGCGACAAGAAGUAUUAGUUGUAAUGUGUUAAUGGUCAUUUUUAAAUCAAAUUAAAAAUGUUACUAUUAGCAAUAUCAAGAAUUGCCAAGGAGAAAUUCAUUGAUAAAAUGACAAAUACCCGAAUUCUCUUCAUUGGCAACUUUACUAAAAAUCACUUUCAACGAAAAAAAAUUAGUAAAAGAUCUUCCAUAUUAUCUCUAUAUAUAGUAUAAUAUCAAAAUUUAGUAUUCUAAAAAUUUUAUUUUAUGCUGUUUUAGUACUAACAUAUUUUAAACAAUAUCAUUGUUUAUAUUAUUAUUACACGGACACUACUUACAUAUAAUAUAUAUAUAUAUAUAUAAAAGAUAAUAGCAUUGUUAGCUUUAUUAGAAUGAAUAAUUGAUUUUUUUUAAAAAUAGAAUGAAUAAUCUAACGAGAUGAAUUGGAUUUUAAAAACUUUUUUUGACAAAAUAAAAUCUAAAAAAAAAACACAUCAAAUAAUAAAAUCAAAACCAUUAAAUAAAUAUUUAACUGAAAAUAAAUGUAAUAAAAAUAAAUAGUAUAGGGUAAAAAUAUUUGCAAGAACCAUUUAUAAAGGUUCAAUCUUGUCUCUUGGUAUUUAUGUCACAAGUCUACUUUCUAAUCCAAAAGACAUGCAUAUUAAGUAAAGAUAGACAUUUAUUUAUAAAUCCAAGACUCAACUCAUCUCUUAUUAAUGUAAGAUCUAUCACAUUCUACCUCACCUAAUUGUUCAAUACGUUCGUUGCAUCGGCUCCUUUACUCAUAGAGGAGAGGGACCGUAUCUUGAUCUAAGUCUACCUCGAACCUGAUAUCUUUUAUAAAAGUUUCAUACUAGUUAAGAGUUAAGUUUGCUCUAAUACCACUAAUCACGAGUUCACAUUUCUAAUCCAAAAAAUAUACAUAUUAGAUAGAGAGAGGCCCUUAUUUGUAAAUCAAGACCCACCCAUAUGACACUUACAUUCUCUCUCUUAGUGUAGUAAAGAGUUCAAUACACUACUUAAUUCAACCAAUACAAAUACUAUUUUCUUGCGUAUCCAAAACAUGCAAAAAAUGCUCUACUUCCCUAUGUGAUACCUCAGAUGAAAUAAAUUAUUUCCUCAUCUUUAAAAGAAAAUACAAUAAUUGUAAAUUUUAUUUUUCUCCUAUUUUAUGUAACAGCCUCAACUUUGACUAAGGUUAUAAAUUACUUGUGUUGAACCAUUUGAUAACUUGCCAUGAGAUUUAAACAUAUGUAUUAAAUAUAUGAACAAAUGACAAUGUGUUUAAGGAUCUUGAAUGAUAAACUAUUAGGGUAAAAUACCCUUACCCCUCUAAGUUUUGAUUGAAAUUACAUGGAGGUCCAUUAGUUUUCAAAAUAGACACUCCGCCCCAAAAAAAUAUUUUUCACUGGACAUUUAGGUCCAGUUGUUAGUCAACCAUUAGUGUUUCCGUCAAUUUGAUGAUGUGAUAAGGGUAAAAACAUAAUUUCACCAUUGAUUAAUUUUUAAAAUUACUAUUAUAUAAUUUUAUUAAUUUUUUAAUUAAUUAAAAUAAAAAAGCUCCUCAAGGAGCAUUAAAGCUCCCUGGGAAGCACCAAUCGGGUGCUCCCCUCCCUUGAGGAGCACGAUGCUCUCUUUUUUAAAAUUUUUUUAAACAUAUAAUAUAAUUUUUAAAAUUUAUAUAAAAAAAAGAAAAGACAUUUUAGUCUUUUCCUAAUCUCUAUUAACGGUAUUUUCAUUUUUAGGACAAAGUGUCCAUUUCAAAAACUAAUAGACCUGCUUAAAAUUUGAACUAAAACUUAAAAGGUAGGGGUAUUUUACCCUAAAAUAUUAUGUUUUUGAUUAGAUUUUAGACCUUAAGCUAUGUGUUGAUAUGUUUUGACACUGAAUAUUGGUUAAUGUGGUGCAUACUAGUUGCAUUAAGAUGAAUAUUGAAAUAACAAAUCGUUUUGGAAGUCCAAAUUUGGAGUUAGGUAGUUUGAAGUGUUGAAAGUUUGCCUUUAGGAGAAAAUGUAUUGAUAAAUUCCUUGAUCUAUCAAUACAUUCAUGGCAGAAUGCCUUGGCAAAGCUUUCUAUCAAUACAUUCUAGAAUGUUUCGAUAGAUUUGGGCCAGGAGGCAUUCUAUAUGAAAACUCUCGAACAUUACAAGAACGUAUUGAUAGAUUUAAAAAGAUGGAUAUUUUGUAAAAAAGGUAUUUAUAGAUUUUCUUGAUCGAUCGAUACAUUUCAAGCAUAAAGCAUUCUUUUAAAUUUACUUCAAUAUGUUGGUACAUGUAUCGAUAGAUCUGAUGAAAAUUCGUGAAAAUGUAUCAAUGCAUGAUUGUAAGUCAGCAAAAAUAAAAGAGACUUUGGGCAUUCCACCCAUUUGAAAACACAAGGAAACAAAAGCUUUCCCUCCUUGCCUUUGAAACCCUAAAACCCCCUAGUAGAUUGGAACUAAUUUGGAGUACUUGGAAGCUUGGAAAUUCAUACUUAAGGUAAGAUCAAGCUUCCUAACAUUUUGAAUUACAUUUUAAUCGGUUCAAAAAUGAGAAUUUGACUAUGGUUUCAUCUCAAUUAUCUUCUCCUUGAGUUGUUGGGAUUUUGGAGUCUUAAGGGCUUAGAAUAGCUGCCAAGGUGAGGAAACCUAACUGUUUUGAACAUUGGAAACAAUGAAACCUAUGAUUUGGAUUGGUAGUUGGAUUUAGAAGCUCAGUUAGGCUUAGAAAAUCUGUGCAUGCUUUGAAAAAAGCUAAAGGUCUAGAAUUUAUGGAUUUGUUAGGUGAAGUGGGAACUUAGAGCUGUUGAUGAACUGAAAUUCUAUGUGGAAUGAUGGACGCAGUGUUUAGCUGAGUGUGAUGUCUUGGCUUCUUCUUGGAAGAAUGUUGCAGCACUAAAACUUUACUAUUUAGCAAUGUGAGUUACGUUAGAGAUAUUCUAGGUCAGUGGGGCAUUUUAUCUAGAAAUUAAGAUUUGAUGUAUGUAUGCACAAAUGUAUGCAUGUGCACUGCCAUGAAACAUGAUUGGUUGAUAAAAUGCUUAGAUGAACUAUGCAUAGGCCGAUGGGUUGAUUGAGCUCUAUUAUAGCUAUGUAUGUUAAUAAUAAAAACCUGUUUGAUAUUGGGUGAGCCAUGUGGUGGUGAUUGAGCUUGACUGUCUUAGUAUUCGCGACUAAAAAGUCUAUUGACCAUGCCUCUGCGCUUGUAUAAAACUUAUAACUUGAUACCUUUUUCUGUGGUAGCGUAUGAUUAUUGCUAAUUCUACGAAAUAAUGUUAUUAGUGAACUAUGGAAAAUCUGAAUUAUGAAAGUUGAUUGAGUUGCAUUCGUAAUUAUGCAUGUAUGAUGCCAAAUGGCUAUGUUAAUGACUUUUGCACAUGUAAUGGCGACACAAUUCCUAAUGGUAAUUGGUUUCGUCUUACGAGUGCUUUCUGGACGAUGAUAUGGUCUAGUUAGAAGGUGUCAUAGUCCCUGUGGUCUUGCUUACCAUUAGCAGUUUAGGCGUUGGACGUGUUUUGUUUACUUGGGAAGACCCUUCUCUUGUUACCAUCUUGAUGAUAACACAAUUUAAUUAGUUGACUUGACUGUCUUUUCAAUCCAAGACAAGUGAGCGAGAAAAACUGCACCAUUGCUCCAUGAAACCUUACAACUCUUAGACGUGAGUCUUGACCUCAUCGAUAGUUCCUAUCCUUGCUACACUCCUUGUGGAAAAAGCCUACCACUCGGCAGAAGAUAUGGUAUGCAUCUCCCUCAUCAUACAUGCACCUUAACAUAGGGUCAUGUAUCUCUUAAAUUGUAGGAUGAAGAUGAAGUCUUCGGUUUACAUUGAUGCUUUCUCAUUGCACCAAUCGAUGUUCCUCUCCACAUUAUUUCAUUCUUCAGUCAAAUUAUUCAUUGUUAACAACUAACGGAAAUGUAAGUGUGGAUUAUUCACGUGACAUGUUAAAUAAUUUUUACCAUGAUAUUUUAUUACUGUUAACAGUACAAUCUGAUAAAAAGAAUAAAAUGAAACCAUUUUAAAAUAUUAUGUGUAAAAUAUAUGAAAAAAGAUUAUAGAUUUAAUUUGAUUACAUUGCUGCCGGACUUACCAAAAUAAUUGUAGAAGCAUGUCUAAUGAUUAUAGGCAUAGCUCUUCAAAGAAAAAUACUGUUUUAUACUUAACAAAAAGAUAAAUGUAAAAUAUAAAAUUGAUCAAUUUUGUUUAGAAUUAUUAUUUUAUAUAUUUUGAAAUUUUGAAAUUUCAAAAUAUAUAAUAUUAUUUAAGUCGUAUUAUAUAUUAUAUAAUUGAAGGGUUAUAUUAAUCGCCUUACUGUGCAGAUAUACUUGGAUGAAUUAUAAAGAUUUCUUUUCUAUUAGUUUCGCUACGUAUCAAUUGGUUGGACACAUUUUAUAAUAAAUAUAAGAGACCAUCAUAGUGCUUCUUCACAAACUAGGACCUUAAUCUCCUUCUCUCCCGCUGAAAUUUUAGGAUGCCAAGAGCAAAACUUCCAUUAUUUUGCCUCUUGGCUUUUGCUUUAUCUCUAUUCCCCGACUGAGGCUCUUCUAUCUGUGGAAAUGUUACCAUCAAAAAGCCCUUUAAGUUAAAAAGCCAACCUCUCAGGUGUGGAAACCGUGAGCUAGUAGUCGAGUGUGACGAUAAUAACCACACCAUUUUCCCCAUGAAAUAUGGGAAAUUCCUUGUCCAAGACAUCUCUUAUAAUAACGGUACAAUUCAACUUUUAGACGAGAGUCUUGGCAAUGAUAACUGCUCCAUUCCUCAUAGGUCCUAUCCUUUGUACAUCCCUUUUGCGAAAAAACAACGUCUCUAUGAAGAUACCACUGAAUUUAGCAUCAUGUAUCUCGUAAAGUGCACGAUGCAGAUCAACUACUCUCGGGUUUAUAUCGAUGCUUUUCGUUGCACCAAUACUCCUUCCUCUCUACCUCCUUACUUGUAUUUUUUGGAUAAAAAAACAGCAAAGUCUGAUUUCCAUGAGUCAUGCAGAAUUGAAGCCCAGGUUCCAAUCAUGGUUGCCAGUAUCACUGGCCUCUCUACUUCUGAUAUUUACACAAAACUGUUGACGGGGUUCCGACUCUCAUGGUGGGAUUAUGCUUAUCAGUUUGGCUGGCUGCGGUGGGACUCAAUUGUUAACGUGUGAGGAUCUUUAAGUAUUCCAAAAUAUUUGGUGCUGUUUAGUUUUUGGAAAUGUUAACUAUUUUUAUUAUAAAUAAACAAAUAAGAUAAAAAUUUUAGUCUUUAUUUCUUUUUAAAAAGUUGACAACAUUUUUAAAUUACUAUUUUAACUAUGUAUAUUAAUUUGUUAUCUAAAAUUUAAACUCGAUAUUUUUAAAGAAUUACAGACUUUAAUUCUAUUAAUGUAGUGUCUACUUCAGACUUCAAUUAUUUCCUUUAAAUAUGUUUAGUGUAAAAUUUAAAGAUAAGGAUUUAAAGCAUUUUUAACAGUAAAAGUGUGCAUUCCAUUUAACUUAUUAAGGAUUAGCGGUUUUGAUGUUCUUUCUUGAAUAUUAAUUAUAGAUUGCUAUGGGUUUUAAAAAAAAAAGGAAGUAUAGAUUGCUAUCCUUGGUCAACCUUUUGCUGGCUCCGCUGUUUAUAUUUAUUGAAAGCAACGCGGCUCUUCUGCUAGGCAUCCCAACAGAGGAUUCAUUGGUAGAUAACAAAGGUGUUCUUUCUUUUCUGAGUUUGUUACUAUUUUGAUUAUUAUUGGAUUUACCUUUACUUUCCUAGGAUCUAUUAACACUUAGUUCUCGAAUCGGUAAAAUCUUAGCAUGAAUCCAGAUUUAUAUUUAUAUAUCAUUAAUUUAACAAUUGUAUUUCGUAAUCUAUUUACUUAUAUCAUGCAUGAUAAAUUUUAAGUUAAUUGAAAAUAUUUAAUUAUUUAAAUGAGAACAUUAAAAUUUUGACCAUUAAAUAUAUAUUAAAAAACCAAUAUUCUUGAGCAAUACGAUAUGGAUUAUCACAUUGAUUUGAAAUUUUAAAUGUAUGAUGAGUACGAAUAGUGUAUGAAAUUAUAAAAAGGUGUAAAACUUAAUUAAUUUUUAACUUGAGCCCUCAAAUUUAUAUAGUUUGUAUGAGUAUUGCAUAUAAAGUAUAUGUAUGUACAAAGAGAUUCCAAUAAAGGAUAAAAUUAUUUAAUAAGAGACGAUAUACUAUAAAUAAUUCAUGAAUAAUAUUGAACUACAUUAAUUGGGUUUUUUUCAGUUAGGUAUUUCUAUGUUGUUACGAUUUUUUUGGUCAAAAUAAAAAUUUUGUCCAAGUUUAUCAUAUUACUUGAAUGAGUACAAUUUUGUCAAUAUACUUUUAAAUUUGUUAAAAGAGAUCAAAAGUUACAAAAUGAACUAAAAUGUACAAUGAUAAAUAUUACACUCGUUAAAAAAAUAAAUAGUAAAUUUGAUCCAUCACCUUAAGUCUAGUGGUGAUAAAUUUAAACCUUAUCUCAAAUUAUUUUAUGAAGUUUGUUUGUGAAAUAUGGCAACAUAUACACAAAUUAAGUUAGUAACUAGCAUGUACAUAUUCUAUAAUCUUGUUGUCCAACUAAUUGGUUUAUAUAUAUGUUUUGUACUCUCUUUUUUUUUUUAUGAGAAACAGGAAUUAUAUUGUUAAGAACUUUUUUGGAGAUAACUUGCUUGAUUGUAUUUGUUAUACACAAAUUAAAAAUGUGGCAUUUGUCUAUGGAUGACAAGAUUGAGAAUUUUCUUCAGAGUCAAAACAAUUUAAUGCCUAUAAGAGACUCUUAUUCUGAAAUAAAAAGAAUAACAGAUGGCUUCAACAAUAAAUUAGGUCAAGGAGGAUAUGGCUCUAUAUUUAAAGGAAAACUUCGAAGUGAUCAACUUGUUGCAAUAAAAUUGUUAAACAAAUCAAAAGCUAACACCCAAGAUUUCACCAAUGAAGUUGCAACUAUUGGAAGGAUUCAUCAUGUUAAUGUGGUAAGACUUAUUGGAUUUUACGUGAAGGGAUCAAAACAAGCUCUUGUAUAUGACUUCAUGAAGAAUGGGUCCUUGGAUAAAAUUAUAUUUUCAACUGAAAAUAACACUUUGAGUUGAGAAAAAAUGUUUGAGAUUGCAUUGGGAGUGGCUCAAGGUAAUGACUAUUUACAUAAAGGCUGUGAAAUGCAAAUUUUUCACUUUGAUAUCAAGCCACAUAACAUUCUUCUAGAUGAGAAUUUUACUCCAAAAGUUUCAGAUUUUGGCCUCGCAAAUUUGUAUUCAGUGGAUGAUGAUAUUAUUUCUCUCACAGCAGCACGAGGUACGCUAGGAUAUAUGGCUUCUGAAUUGUUUUACAAAAAUAUCAGAGGUAUAUCAUAUAAAGCUGAUGUUUAUAGUUUUGGAAUGAUGAUAAUGGAAAUUAUCGGAAGGAGAAAAAAUUUGAAUGCCUCUGCUGAACAUUCAAGUCAAAUUUAUUUUUCAUCAUAGAUUUUUGAUCAAUUAGAUGAAGGAGAUACCAUGGAGCUUGGAGAUGUGACAGAAAUUGAAAACAAAAUUAUGAGGAAAAUGGUAAUAGUAACCUUAUGGUGCAUACAGAUGAAGCCCACAGAUCGUCCUUCAAUGAGCAAAGUCUUGAAGAUGCUUGAAAGUGAAGUUGAGCUCCUUGAAAUGCCUCCCAAGCCUUCUUUCUCCGGAAAUAUCAACUAAAGAUAGUAAAAAUUCUCCCUGCACACGUGGCAAUCGGCCUUCCUCAGCUACCUCGUGAUUUUCGUCGUUGGGACACCACUCAACAUCGUGAUCUUGCUAAAUCUGAUGCCCUUAAGUCGAUUACUUUUUCUGUAUUUAGUUUUUUGAGUGGUACGUAGUUUUUGUUUCCACCGAGAUCUAGCAGGCAGUGUUUGUAUUCUCUUUACCACCUUGGUUUGUUUUGUUUCUGCUACUUCUCUAUUUCCCUGUAUGCGACCUUUGAUGAAAUAAAUCAUUUCCUCACUUAUAAAAAAAUUGCAAGAAAAUGUAAAUUUUUUCCCUUAUUUUAUAAAAAGAAAAUGUGUUAUAUCUUAUAUUAUAUUUUUAUGUACCUAUGUAUCUAUAGUAUUAGUUGUUUAAACUUUUUGGGUGUAAUUCAUUUUCAUAGAUAAUUAACAGCUUUUAUAAAAGUGCAGUCUUUGUCACUAUAUAUGCAUGUAAAUCUCUCUUUAACUGCAAUUGUUUUGCCCAAAAUACUUCUUAUAAAAGAUUGUACAGAGCAGCCAAAUUUGUAAAGUUCUAUCCUAAGUAAAAUAUUUUUAAUGACACAAAUUAAAAAAAUUAAAUGUCAAAUUUAUUGUGGUGUGUUUUUCCCCCUUUGACUCUAGACUCUAGCUUAUUAAAUUUUCAAAGGAAGAUUUGCUUUCAUUUGCAGCCAGAGAAUGAUUAGCAGAGCAACCAAGAUAAAAUUAUCUUAGUUCUUAUUUAAUCUUACUUUUUAAACUUUUUUAUACAUAUAAAAAAAUGCAAAAUAUGGACUGAUUAGUCCUUUUAGACUUGAUUGGUCGAAGGUGAAAUUUUAAGACUAAACGGUGAAUUUACAAGAUUGCUCGAAUGAUUUUAUUCCUAUUUGAGUGGAAAAUCAGCUAAGAGCUAUGAUUGGCUUGUGGUAAGGUGGUUGGCUUUAAUUAGUUGACUUGACUGACUUUUCGAACGAAGACAAGUGAGCAAGAAUAACCACACAUUUUCCCCAUGACAUAUAUAUGAGAAUUUCUAUGUGGAAAAAGCCAUAUAAAUCUUGGAGGUGAGUCCUGACAAAAAUAACUGCUCUAUUCCUCAUAGUUCCUAUCCUUGCUACACCCCUUGUAGAAAAAGCUUACCAUGCCACUCGGUAGGAGAUAGGGCAUACAUCUCCCUCAUCAUAUGUAUGCAUGCACGUCAAUAUAGGGUCAUGUGUAUCUCUUAAAUUGCAGGAUGAAGAUGAAUUCUUCGGUUUACAUUGAUGCUUUCCAUUGCACCAAUCGAUGUUCCUCUCCACGUUAUUUUGUUUCUUCAGUCAAAUUAUUCUCUGGUUAACAACUAAUGAAAAUGUAAGGAUAGAAUAUUCACGUAAUAUGUUACAUAAUUUAUACUAUAAUAUUUUAUCAUUGUUAACGGCACAAUUUGAUAAAAAGAUAAAAAAGAAAUCAUUUUAUUAUAUUAUGUGUAAAAUACAUGAAAAGAAAAGAUUACAAAUUUUAUUUGAUUACAUUACUGCAGAACUUACAAAAAUAAUUAUAGAAGCAUGGCUAAUGAUUAUAGGUAUUAUUUGGAUAGAUAUUUUUCUCAUUUUUCUUGUUUGACUGGUUGUAACUUGUCUUCAAAUUUUGAUAUCCACCAAAAAACUAUCCAAGAGCUUGAUUGUUUUAGAUAGUCAUUCAACAGCUUGACUGACUUUAUAUUUGUCUGUGCAACAAAUUUGAAAAUUUUUUUUAAAAAAGUCAAUAUUGAAUUUUAGACAUGCAUAAAUAGCAUAAUUUUUUAUUAUGCAGUGAAAAUAUAUGUAUAAAGUAUGAGGAAAGAUCUACUUAUACCGGUAUAAAAUUAAAUUAGUUUUACACUUUUUCAUGUCUUUUUAUUUCAUUUAUAUUUUGUUAAUCUAACCGUUCAUUUUAUGUUUUAUUCAUAUAAAUAUUCAUAGAUAGCAAAUUUCAAGUUAAUUGGAAAUGACUAACUACAUAUUUGAGAAAAAUAAAAUUUCAAUCAUUAAAUAUAUAUUGAAAAAAGGCAUUAUUCUCGGUUGAUGUAAUAAGAAUGUUGAAUUAAUAUGAGACUUUACGUGUAUGAUAAAUGCGAAUAAGUUGUUAAAUGUAAUGAUUCUAUUUGUUAAAAUAUUAAUUCCCUAAGAAGUUAUAGAAAAAUGUAAAGUACUUAGUUUUAGAGAUACAAGGCGAUUCCUCUUGGCCGGUAUAAAGUAUUGCUAUUUAGGCUUUUGUGUGCAAUUUUUUUUCAUAGCUAAUUGUUGUUGAAAGUGUGCAAUCUUUACUACUGUAUGCAUGUAAUAUUUUUGUCCAAAAUAUUAGCAAAAAAAAUGUUUUGAACUGUGAACUCCGUAAAAGUUCUAUACAAAAGGAUUUUAAACAACAAUAGUUAAAGAAAAAAAAUAAAUAAAUGAAAAUUUAAUUAUUAUAGUGUGUUUUUUCCACUUGUUCAAAGUAAGAUUUGAUUUCAAUUGCAGCCCUAGAUAUAAUCAGCAAAGCAAUGAAGCUAACAUUAUCCAAAGAUUUAAUGUUUCUCGUUAAACUUUUUUAUAUAUAAUUCUCCAAAGAAAAAUACAGUUUUAUACUUAAAAAAUAAAUGUAAAAUAUGAAAUUGAUCAAAUUUUUUCAGAAUUAUUAUUUUAUAUAUCUUGAAAUUUUGAAAUUCCAAAAUUUAUAAUAUUGUUUAAGUCAUAUUAUAUAUAUUAUUGAGGGUUUAUAGUAAUAUCCCUACUGUGUAGAUUUACUUGGAUGAAUUGCAAAGAUUUCUUUUCCAUCAGUGCCGCUACGUACCAAUUUGUUAGGUACACGGAUUUUCUUCUUUCUUGUUUGUUUGCGUGGAAAAUCAUCAAAAAGCUCUAUGACAGGCUUGUCGUUAAAGGUGUUUUGCGGGUUGGGUUUAAUUAGUUGACUGACUUUUCAAAAGAAGACUUGGUUUUAACAAUAAAUGUAAGAACUGCUUCACUUGCCUCUAUCAAAACGAGGACCUUAAUCUCCCACUGAAACUUUAGGAUGCUUAGCGUCAUACUUCCAUUACUUUGCCUCUUGGUUUGGCUUCAGUGCAAAUCUCCAAUCCAGUCGUUACAAAAAAAGACAAGUACUGUGGCUUUUCUUUCUGUGGAAACAUUAACAUCACUUACCCUUUUCGAUUAAAAAACCAGCCUCGUAGUUGUGGUUACAAUAGGUUUGAACUAGUGUGCCAGAAUAACCGCACCAUUUUCCCCAGGAAAUAUGGGAAUUUCUAUGUCCAACACAUCUCUUAUAGUGACGAAACCAGCCGACUUUUAGACGAGAGUCUUGGCAACGACAACUGCUCUAUUCCUCAUAGUACCUAUCCUCGGUCCACCCCUUCUGCAAAAAAACUAUAUCCCUGGCGUACCUUUUCAUGGGAAGAAAGAAAUUUCUAUCAAACUACCCCUGAAUUUAGCGUCAUGUAUCUCAUAAAUUGCACGAUGCAGAUCAACUACUCUUCCGUUUAUAUCGAUGCUUUUCGUUGCACCAAUACCCCUUCCUCCUCUCAACCUCCGUACUUUUACUUUUUGGAUGAAAAUACAGCACCGUCUGAUUUCCAUGAGUCAUGCACUGUUGAAGCCCAAGUUCCAAUCAUGGUUGCCAGUAUCAUCGGCCUCUCUACUUUUGAUAUUUACACAAAGCUGUUAACGGGAUUCCAACUCUCAUGGUUCACUUCCUCUUAUGAUUAUGUUUGGCUGCGGUGGGACUCAAUUGUUAACGUGUGAGGAUUUUUAAGUAUUCCGCAAUAUUUGGUGUUGUUUCGUUUUUGAAAAAUAUUUAUUAUUAUUAAUUUUUUUUGGAUCGUAAUAUUUAUUAUUUUUAGCAUACAUAAAUAUGAUAAAAAAACAAAUAUCAAAAUAUUUAGUUUUGAAUUCUUUUAAACUACUUUUUUAAUUAUGUGUAUAAAUUUGUAUCUAAAAUUUAAACUCGAUAUUUUAAUGUAAAAUUUAAAGAGAAGGAAUUAAGACAUUUUCAACACUAAAAGUGCGCAUAUCAUUUGCCUUAUUAAGGAUUAAUGGUUUUGAUGUGCUUUUUUGAAUAUUAAUUAUAGAUUGCUAUUCUUGCUCAAGCUGUGGUCGGUUCUGCCGAAGAUACUUGUACAAGGCAACAUAGCUUUUUUUGAACCAGAUUCUAUCGAUGGAUUUAGUAAAUGUAUUCUUUCGGUUCUGAGUUCAUUAAUAUUUUGAUUAUUAUUGGAUUUGCCUUUACUUUGAUAGAAUCUAUUUUCAUUUAUUUUCUGAUUUGGUAAUAUCUUUGCAGGAAUCCAGAUUCUUUGUGUUGCAAUAACAGGUACUAAAUUCUAUACUUAUUUAUUUACUCUUAAAUUCUACAAUUAUUAUAAUGUAUGACAUCAAUAAAUAUAUUAUUAUAUAAAUGGAUUAAAAAAUUAUUAAAUUAUUUAAAAAAUUCCUAAACUAUUUUACAACAAUUCCAAUAAGCUUUUCUUAAUUUUUAUUGCAUUCAAUCAAGCUAUUAUAUUUUUAUUUUGAACCAAAUAAACCCUUCUAAGUAACAGUUAACUAAUGUUAUUAGUUCAAAUGUCACUUGUUAUUUCAUACUCAUGUGACAUUGAUAUGAUGCUGACAUGGAGGAUGAAAAUGCCACAUAACCAUGUCAUAAUGCCAUAUACUCUGAUAUGUCAACAUAAUAUAUCCAUGUCAUAUGAUAUAAAAUAACAAAUGGUAUUUUGAUUAAUAACAGUUAGUUAACCAUUAGUUAUAAUGACUUAUUUGGUUCAAAAUAAAUGUUUAAGAGCUUGAUCAUACACAAUAAAAGAAUGAGAGUUUAUUUGAAUUUUUCUAAAUAGCUCAAGAAAUUUUUAAGUAUUAUGCAUUUUUGUGUGUGCGUGUGUGUAUAUGUACCAGUGUGAAAUUAAUUAAAUUUACACCUUUUCAUAUUUUUUAUAAGAUUUAUAUUUUGUUAAUUUAACCGGUGUAUUCCAUAUAUACUCAAUUUACAUAGAUCAUGCAUAAAAAAUUUUAAAUCAAUUGAAAAUAUCUAAUUAUUUGUAUAAUAAUAAUAAAAUUUUAACCAUUAAAUAUAUAUUUAAAAAACAAUAUUCUCUACCAAUGUGAUAUGGAUAUUGCACUGACUUGAAACUUUUUAUGUACGAUUGGAUGCAAAUAAAGUUAGCUUGCUAAAACUUAAUUGUAUAUGAAAUUAUAAAAUGGUGUAUAUAUAUAUAUAUAUAUGAGUAUUGCAUAUAUGUAUAUGUAUGUAUAAAGAGAUUCAAUAAAGGAUAAAAUAAUUAAAUAAGAGAAGAUCUACUAUAAAUUAUUCAUAAAUAAUAUUGAACUACAUUAAUUAGGUUUUUUUAGUAAGGUAUUUUUAUUUUGUUACGAUGUUUUUUGGUCAAAAUAAAAAUUAUGUCCAAAUUUAACAUUUUACUUUGGUGAUAGACCAAAUUAUGAUCAUAUUUAAAUGAGAAUAAUUGGCACUAUACUUUUAAAUUGGUUAAAAAUGAUCAAAAGUUAUGAAAUAAACUCAAAAGUACAAUAAUGAAAGUUACACUCAUUCAAAAAUGAAUAGUAAAUUUAAUCCAUCAUUUUUUUUAAAAGGUGAAUUUUUAUUAACCUCAACACUAUCAUGCCAUUUUGAUUCUCAAGCUUAGAUUGCAAGAGACUCUCAUGACAUAAAUAGUUAGUAAGCAGCCUGUACAAUUUCCAAAAAGAAUAUGCUACUCAAUAAGAUUUUGGUAGCAACUCAGGAUAAAGAAACUAACGUACCUUAAGCAGAUUGGUGGUAAAUUUGAACCUUAUCUCAAAUUAUUCUAUGAAGUUUGUUUGUGAAAAUAUGGCAGCUAGCACAUGCCCAAAUUAAAGUUGUAAAUAACAUAUACAUGUUCUAUAAUCAUGUUUUCCAACUAAUUGAUUUACAUAUUGUUUUGUAUUUUUUUUUUUUUGAGAAACAGGAAUUCUUUUGCUAAGAACUUUUUUGGGAAUAAUUUGCUUGAUUGUGCUGGUUAGACGAAAAUUAAAAAGGAGGCAUUUGUCGAUGGAUGACGUGAUUGAGAAUUUUCUUCAGAGUCAAAACAAUUUAAUGCCUAUAAGAUAUUCUUACUCUGAAAUAAAAAGAAUGACUGAUGGUUUCAAGAAUAAACUUGGUCAAUGAGGAUAUGGCUCUGUGUUUAAAGGAAAACUUUGACGUGGUCAACUUGUUGCGAUAAAAUUGUUAAACAAGUCAAAAGCUAACGGCCAAGAUUUCAUCAAU
rnacentral:lncRNA from 1 species